rnacentral:lncRNA from 1 species
GCACUUGCUGAAUGCUUAAGAGUGCCAGGGCUUCAUUUGGGUUUAAUUCUGACUUUCUGGCUGCUCCCUUUCCAGUGCCAAUUUAAGGUCUUGCACUGAUGACCAUAAUUGCAGGAUUUGAUAAUAUCUGUGGACCAGUGAUGGUGUUGUAGAGGCUCUUAGAAACUUUGUUGUACCAAAAAUAACAAGAAUGACCUGGGCAAAAUAUUUCUUAUUCUUAAAGACUGCCAUUGGUACACAUGAACAAGGCCACAGCUGGGGCUUUCAAUUGAAAAUUGACUGGAAGUGUGAAGGUUAGCUCUGUGAGUGGAAGCAUCUUGGUGGAGCGAAGCCAGACGGACUGCCACGGGACGUUCCCCACCAUUCCUAGGAGAAAGACCUCUGCAUUUCCACAGCAUGCUGUUUGAAUUGGCAGCUGGCUGUGCCCACACAAACCAAUCCACAGGGGUAUUCCAGCAUGUGCAUGAGAUAAAACCCCCACAGU